GCAUUUUGGGCCUGAACCAAAGCCCACUAAAGUCAAUGGGAGUCUUUUCCUUGGCUUUAGUGGGCUUUGGAUCUGUUCCUUUCGUC
rnacentral:pre_miRNA from 1 species